rnacentral:rRNA from 1 species
GGUUAAGUUAGAAAGGGCGCACGGUGGAUGCCUUGACACUAGGAGUCGAUGAAGGACGGGACUAACGCCGAUAUGCUUCGGGGAGCUGUAAGUAAGCUUUGAUCCGAAGAUUUCCGAAUGGGGAAACCCACCAUACGUAAUGGUAUGGUAUCCUUAUCUGAAUACAUAGGGUAAGGAAGACAGACCCAGGGAACUGAAACAUCUAAGUACCUGGAGGAAGAGAAAGCAAAUGCGAUUUCCUGAGUAGCGGCGAGCGAAACGGAACAUAGCCCAAACCAAGAGGCUUGCCUCUUGGGGUUGUAGGACAUUCUAUACGGAGUUACAAAGGAACGAGGUAGACGAAGCGACCUGGAAAGGUCCGUCGUAGAGGGUAACAACCCCGUAGUCGAAACUUCGUUCUCUCUUGAAUGUAUCCUGAGUACGGCGGAACACGUGAAAUUCCGUCGGAAUCUGGGAGGACCAUCUCCCAAGGCUAAAUACUCCCUAGUGAUCGAUAGUGAACCAGUACCGUGAGGGAAAGGUGAAAAGCACCCCGGAAGGGGAGUGAAAGAGAUCCUGAAACCGUGUGCCUACAAAUAGUCAGAGCCCGUUAACGGGUGAUGGCGUGCCUUUUGUAGAAUGAACCGGCGAGUUACGAUCCCGUGCGAGGUUAAGCUGAAGAGGCGGAGCCGCAGCGAAAGCGAGUCUGAAUAGGGCGUUUAGUACGUGGUCGUAGACCCGAAACCAGGUGAUCUACCCAUGUCCAGGGUGAAGUUCAGGUAACACUGAAUGGAGGCCCGAACCCACGCACGUUGAAAAGUGCGGGGAUGAGGUGUGGGUAGCGGAGAAAUUCCAAUCGAACCUGGAGAUAGCUGGUUCUCCCCGAAAUAGCUUUAGGGCUAGCCUUAAGUGUAAGAGUCUUGGAGGUAGAGCACUGAUUGGACUAGGGGUCCUCAUCGGAUUACCGAAUUCAGUCAAACUCCGAAUGCCAAUGACUUAUCCUUAGGAGUCAGACUGCGAGUGAUAAGAUCCGUAGUCAAAAGGGAAACAGCCCAGACCGCCAGCUAAGGUCCCAAAGUGUGUAUUAAGUGGAAAAGGAUGUGGAGUUGCUUAGACAACUAGGAUGUUGGCUUAGAAGCAGCCACCAUUUAAAGAGUGCGUAAUAGCUCACUAGUCGAGUGACUCUGCGCCGAAAAUGUACCGGGGCUAAAUACACCACCGAAGCUGCGGAUUGAUACCAAUGGUAUCAGUGGUAGGGGAGCGUUCUAAGGACAGUGAAGUCAGACCGGAAGGACUGGUGGAGUGCUUAGAAGUGAGAAUGCCGGUAUGAGUAGCGAAAGACGGGUGAGAAUCCCGUCCACCGAAUGCCUAAGGUUUCCUGAGGAAGGCUCGUCCGCUCAGGGUUAGUCAGGACCUAAGCCGAGGCCGACAGGCGUAGGCGAUGGACAACAGGUUGAUAUUCCUGUACCACCUCUUUAUCGUUUGAGCAAUGGAGGGACGCAGAAGGAUAGAAGAAGCGUGCGAUUGGUUGUGCACGUCCAAGCAGUUAGGCUGAUAAGUAGGCAAAUCCGCUUAUCGUGAAGGCUGAGCUGUGAUGGGGAAGCUCCUUAUGGAGCGAAGUCUUUGAUUCCCCGCUGCCAAGAAAAGCUUCUAGCGAGAUAAAAGGUGCCUGUACCGCAAACCGACACAGGUAGGCGAGGAGAGAAUCCUAAGGUGUGCGAGAGAACUCUGGUUAAGGAACUCGGCAAAAUGACCCCGUAACUUCGGGAGAAGGGGUGCUUUCUUAACGGAAAGCCGCAGUGAAUAGGCCCAAGCGACUGUUUAGCAAAAACACAGCUCUCUGCGAAGCCGUAAGGCGAAGUAUAGGGGGUGACACCUGCCCGGUGCUGGAAGGUUAAGGAGAGGGGUUAGCGUAAGCGAAGCUCUGAACUGAAGCCCCAGUAAACGGCGGCCGUAACUAUAACGGUCCUAAGGUAGCGAAAUUCCUUGUCGGGUAAGUUCCGACCCGCACGAAAGGUGUAACGAUUUGGGCACUGUCUCAACCAGAGACUCGGUGAAAUUAUAGUACCUGUGAAGAUGCAGGUUACCCGCGACAGGACGGAAAGACCCCGUGGAGCUUUACUGUAGCCUGAUAUUGAAUUUUGGUACAGUUUGUACAGGAUAGGCGGGAGCCAUUGAAACCGGAGCGCUAGCUUCGGUGGAGGCGCUGGUGGGAUACCGCCCUGACUGUAUUGAAAUUCUAACCUACGGGUCUUAUCGACCCGGGAGACAGUGUCAGGUGGGCAGUUUGACUGGGGCGGUCGCCUCCUAAAGUGUAACGGAGGCGCCCAAAGGUUCCCUCAGAAUGGUUGGAAAUCAUUCGUAGAGUGCAAAGGCAUAAGGGAGCUUGACUGCGAGACCUACAAGUCGAGCAGGGACGAAAGUCGGGCUUAGUGAUCCGGUGGUUCCGCAUGGAAGGGCCAUCGCUCAACGGAUAAAAGCUACCCCGGGGAUAACAGGCUUAUCUCCCCCAAGAGUCCACAUCGACGGGGAGGUUUGGCACCUCGAUGUCGGCUCAUCGCAUCCUGGGGCUGUAGUCGGUCCCAAGGGUUGGGCUGUUCGCCCAUUAAAGCGGUACGCGAGCUGGGUUCAGAACGUCGUGAGACAGUUCGGUCCCUAUCCGUCGUGGGCGUAGGAAAUUUGAGAGGAGCUGUCCUUAGUACGAGAGGACCGGGAUGGACGCACCGCUGGUGUACCAGUUGUUCUGCCAAGGGCAUAGCUGGGUAGCUAUGUGCGGAAGGGAUAAGUGCUGAAAGCAUCUAAGCAUGAAGCCCCCCUCAAGAUGAGAUUUCCCAUAGCGUAAGCUAGUAAGAUCCCUGAAAGAUGAUCAGGUUGAUAGGUUCGAGGUGGAAGCAUGGUGACAUGUGGAGCUGACGAAUACUAAUAGAUCGAGGACUUAACCAUAUA